rnacentral:rRNA from 1 species
UAGGGAAUAUUGGGCAAUGGACGGAAGUCUGACCCAGCCAUGCCGCGUGCAGGAUGAAGGCCUUCUGGGUUGUAAACUGCUUUUAUCUGGGAAGAAAACACCUAUGCGUAGGAAACUGACGGUACCAGAUGAAUAAGCACCGGCUAACUCCGUGCCAGCAGCCGCGGUAAUACGGAGGGUGCAAGCGUUGUCCGGAUUUAUUGGGUUUAAAGGGUGCGUAGGCGGCCCGUUUAAGUCCGUGGUGAAAGCCUCCAGCUCAACUGGAGAACUGCCAUGGAUACUGGCGGGCUUGAGUACAGACGAGGUUGGCGGAAUUGAUUGUGUAGCGGUGAAAUGCAUAGAUACAAUCAAGAACUCCGAUUGCGUAGGCAGCUAACUAGGCUGUAACUGACGCUGAGGCACGAAAGCGUGGGGAGCGAACAGGAUUAGAUACCCUGGUAGUCCACGCCGUAAACGAUGAUUACUCGAUGUUGG